UCGCCCCACUCGCGCUCACGUGUGCCCAGGGCUGCCCGCGCUCCGCGACCCUGCAGGGAGCCUGUCGCCCUUCCGGCGAUGGCCCCUGCCCUCUGCCCUCUGCAGCGCCUGGCGGCCAAGAGGCGCAGGUCCGCGCAGCGCCCUUUGGAGCAGGGCGGGCCUGUGCGGACCGAACCAAGCUUAGCGGGCGCGCCGGGCUGUAUGUUGCGGCCAUGGAGCGGCCGGCGGUGCCGAGCGAGGUGCUCAUGAGCCAGGCCAUCCAGCCCGCUCACGCCGACGCCCGCGGCCAGCUGAGCGCUGGGCAGCUGCUCAAGUGGGUGGAUGCUGCUGCCUGCCUGGCGGCUGAAAAGCACGCCGGGGUUUCCUGCGUCACGGCCUCAGUGGACGACAUCCAGUUUAAGGAGACGGCUAGAGUUGGACAAGUUCUAACCAUCAAAGCCAAGGUCACUAGAGCGUUCAGCACAAGCAUGGAGAUCAGUAUAAAGGUCACAGUCCAGGACACGUUCACUGGGGUUGAAAAACUUGUUAGUGUGGCUUUCUCCACAUUUGUAGUCAAACCACUUGGAGAAGAGAAGAUUCGCUUAAAGCCGGUCCCGCUUCUCACGGAGCAGGAUCGCGUGCAACACAAUCUGGCUUCGGAGAGGAGGAAAGUUCGGCUGCAGCACGAAGACACUUUUAACAGCUUGAUGAGGGAAAGCGGCAAGUCUGACGAUCCAGUUUCUGCUGAAGAAGGGACGGUGUCCACCAGGGGCACCUCUGCCCAGAGCGUUGAACUUGUCCUCCCGCCCCACGCAAACCACCACGGAAACACAUUUGGUGGCCAGAUCAUGGCCUGGAUGGAGACGGUGGCUGCUGUUUCUGCAAGCCGCCUGUGUCACGCGCACCCCAUCCUCAAGUCCGUGGACAUGUUCAAGUUCAGGGGCCCGUCCACAGUUGGAGACCGGCUUGUCUUCAAUGCCAUUGUCAACAAUACCUUUCAGACCUGCGUGGAAGUCGGAGUGCGCGUGGAGGCCUUUGACUGUCAGGAGUGGGCCGACGGCCACGGCCGGCACAUCAACAGCGCCUUCCUCAUUUACCACGCGGUCGACGACAGGGGCGAACUCCUCCCGCUUCCCAGGGUCAGACCCAUCUCAGAGGAUGAUUUCAGGCGCUAUCGGGGAACCAUUGCACGCAAGAGAAUUCGCCUAGGCAGAAAAUACGUAAUUAUGCACAAAGAAGAGGUUCCACAUUGCACCCACUGGGAUCUAAGCAAGCAGGCAGCGCUCAGCAGCGGCAAUGUGGAGGCGCUCGGAAGGCUGGCAGCCAAAAGCGGCUGGGAGGUGACCAGCGCUGCGGAGAAGGUGGCUGCUGGCCCGCAACUCUGGCAUCAGUUCACUGCACUCUCGCUGUACCUGUGUCCUUGGCCUUCACUGAUGUGGACCCCAGCUGCUGGCGUACGGCCUCAACCUGAUGAGCGGGCAAGACCCUAUUUCCUUCCCAAGUCACAUUCUUCGGUAGCGGCAGUGUUAAGCCUUCAACAGAUGAAUUUGCAGGGCCCAGGGCACAACAUGACUCUAAACAAGUGCUCAGCCCAGCAGCACAGCCUCCCCUACACUGGGCCCACGCUGCUCCAAGGCCACCAUGUGAGCAGGCUGUGGGGUUCACUCUGGGCAGCUGUCCUUGGCUAGUCUGAGGCUGCUGAGCCCUGGCAGGCUGGCCAAGAGCCUUGGUCAGGGGCCUCGCCCUGCAUUGACACCAGUGAGGCUCCUCCCAUGCCCCUGCACUGGGAGCAGAGGCGGGCACCUCCAUGCCCAUGUCCUGCUGGUAGCGUGAUCCCAGAGACCACCAGAGCCCUGAUGUUCUUUGUGUCUGGUCCGUGCCCAUGCUGGGUCAUGUCUUCCUUUGCAGGCUUGGCCUCAGGGUGAACUGGAGAAGUGUCCGCAUAAGCCAGCAGUCCCUUGUACUCCCCCUAAGCUGCUUCCUGUCUGCUCCUCAUGUCGUCACAUGUGUUGACGAGGGCAGGGCUCUCCCGUGCAGCCCAACUCUGCCUUCUGCUUGAGUCCCGCAGGAAGUCCUGACCCUGUGCUUGUCUGUCCACACCUUGCUGCCACAGCAGUGGCUGUGAGAUGGCAGAGUUCACCACUAACUUUAAGGUACUCUCCAAGAGAUGGAGAAAGUGGGCAGGAGGCAGCGUGCUGAGACCCGAACAGGCAUCUCUGAUUAUUGUCAGAGAGGCAGGAGAAGCAAAGCUCAGAGUGACAAGGGAUGCGUGAAAGUUUAAGUCCGUGUCAGGCGGCUCCUCUUAGCUAAGGAAUCACACGCACUAGAAGCCCUGGAGUCGGCCUCCAGAAACAUGAACCCUCGUGACUCAGACAUGAGACAGUGUUUUGUGCUGGGAGAGCUGGGUGCUUCAGCAGUUGAGUCAGUUGCAGAGGAGGCUGGCUGGCUUCCUGGGAGAUUCACCUGCCACCCAAGACAACGUCCUGAACCUCAGCCUGGUGCCCAGGGCUCUGGGGGUGUCAGAACUCUACCAGGAAGUCCAGCAGCCUGGUGAUAUUUUCUGUUAUUCCUGGAUAAAGGCGGGGAGGCGGCACCAAGACAAGAGGGAGAAAGGUUUAUUCCUUAGUCUUCCCAUGCUGCACAACUGUCCAGCUACUGUGUGGGGCCACCUCUAGAAUCCAAGUUCUUGCAGUGAAAUUGUUUGGCUUCACUUUCCUCCAGGUACAAAGGCGCCUUGCUGGUGGCUUCUACAGCUACAUACACGUGCGUGCUUUGUAAAGUAGAACCUCGAUGUUGCCUUCAUACCAGUGUGCCCCUCAUAAUGUGAUGUUCCUUGCUCCCUUUGAGAUAAAAAUAUACACCCUGGAAGAGCAGGAUGUUCUGUCCAUCUGGGUGGAGAAGCGUGUGGAGAGCCCUGCGCACCUGGCCUACCAUCUGCUGUCUGACUUCACGAGGCGACCUUUGUGGGACCCGCAUUAUGUGUCCUGUGAAG